GCAAUACGGGAGCGGCAGACGGGAGAGUAACACGUGGGAACGUACCCUUCAGUUCGGAACAACCCAGGGAAACUUGGGCUAAUACCGAAUACGUCCGUAAGGAGAAAGAUUUAUCGCUGAAGGAUCGGCCCGCGUCUGAUUAGCUAGUUGGUGAGGUAACGGCUCACCAAGGCGACGAUCAGUAGCUGGUCUGAGAGGAUGAUCAGCCUCACUGGGACUGAGACACGGCCCAGACUCCUACGGGAGGCAGCAGUGGGGAAUAUUGGACAAUGGGCGCAAGCCUGAUCCAGCCAUGCCGCGUGGGUGAUGAAGGCCCUAGGG
rnacentral:rRNA from 1 species